rnacentral:rRNA from 1 species
AUUGAACGCUGGCGGCAGGCCUAACACAUGCAAGUCGAGCGAGCGGCGGAGGGGUGAGUAAUGUAUGGGGACUGCCCGACAGAGGGGGAUCACUACGGGAAACGGUGGCUAAUACCGCUUACUAUCGGAUAACCGAUAGGGGAUUAGCUAGUAGGUGGGGUAAAGGCUCACCUAGGCGACGAUCUCUAGCUGGACUGAGAGGAUGAGCAGCCACACUGGGACUGAGACACGGCCCAGACUCCUACGGAGGCAGCAGUGGGGAAUAUUGCACAAUGGGCGCAAGCCUGAUGCAGCCAUGCCGCGUGGAUGAAGAAGGCUUUAGGGUUGUAAAGUACUUUCAGCGGGGAGGCGUUACCCACCGAAGAAGCAACGGCUAACUCCGUGCCAGCCGCCGCGGUAAUAC